rnacentral:tRNA from 1 species
UGCUAGGUAGAGCAGUGGUUAGCUCGUAGGGCUCAUAACCCUAAGGUCAUAGGUUCAAAUCCUUUUCUCGCAA